AACGAACGCUGGCGGCAUGGCUAACACAUGGAAGUCGAACGAGAUCUUCGGUCCUAGUGUCGCACGGGUGCGUAACGCGUGGGACUCCGCCCUCGGGUUCGGUAUAACAGCUGGAACCGACCUCAAAUACCGGACGAUGAGGAAAGUUCAAAGAUUUAUCGCCAGAGGAUGAUCCCGCGUAGGAUUAGCUGAGUGGUGUAGUAGAGGCGCACGAAGGCGAAGAUCCUUAGCUGGUCUGAGAGGAUGAUCAGCCACACGGGGAACGAGACACGGGCCAGACUCCUACGGGAGGCAGCAGUGGGGAAUAUUGGACAAUGGGCAAAAGCCUGAUCCAGCAAUGCCGCGUGAGUGAUGAAGGCCUUAGGGUUGUAAAGCUCUUUUACCCGGGAUGAUAAUGACAGUACCGGGAGAAUAAGCUCCGGCUAACUCCGUGCCAGCCGCCGCCGUAA
rnacentral:rRNA from 1 species